AUAAUGGAAAGCACUGCUAAAUAACCAAACAAUUUAGCAUGAAAUACAUCAGUAUUGCAUUGUUAUUACAAUUGAAUAUGGUUCCAUAGCCUAGGCUACUGUUGCUUCCAAGGUAAAUAUCCUAGACCUAGAAGAUCGCUCAACAUGUACCAAUAUCACAGUGAAAUGGUAAAAGAAACGACUCCUAAUUGGCUAAAUAUUGAUUGCCGUGAGUCAAAAAUGUUGGCUCAAGAACCCCUGGACUUCCCUGUCCAGGCGGCACGUGACAGGAGUUGCUCUCAAUGACCAGCGCAAUUGAUGUGAGCUAUUUGGAUGUGAAUCGCCAUUCUCCCACAAAGUAAAACAUUAAGAAUGGGUGUCCUCAAUGACAAUGAAUUUGUUUUCAGCGCUAGAUCAAUUGAGGUCUGCUUUCGUCUGCCUUGAAAUCUAUUCGCCAAUUGCAUUGCCUCGAGCCUUAGGAUAGGCUAUAAAAGUGGACUUCGUUUUUCAAGCAGUAUAAAGGCUAGCCUGCAUCAGUGAUGCUGGCAAACUCAGUUGUAGGCUAGUCUACCAUAACAAGUGACCAAAGAAUAUCUCCUGACCAUUCUCUGACAAAAUUAGGGACCAAAAGAGGACCAAACUAUGCGCUGCACUUGACGCGUAGGCUAAGCGAUAGGCUAUAUUACCAGAGAUGUCUAGGGGAGGAAGACAGCUUCAACUAGACAAAACAACUGAAAGAAGAAAGAAAAUGAAGAGGGAAAAAAUGAACAGAGUUUGUCUGUUUAUUUCCUCCACUGACUUUGCCUCAGAAACAGCGGAUCUGGAGGGACUAACUUCAAAAGAAAGGCAAGAGGGAGCUGGUGUGAAAUAUGAGCAGGAAGGAGAGAUUAGAAACAUGGGGUCUUCUGUUAAGGAACCAGAGACAGUAUCCACAGAAGCUAUGAGCGGAAGAGAGCAGCCUCACAAGAUCAUUAACACCACUUCUGGACUAUGCUGUGGACUGAGGAGAGACUGAGAGAGAGACGAGUGGAGGCAGGUCUGGGUCUGUGCUGAUAUACAGUACGCCCUGCAUCAUUUCUACAUGUACCACCAGCAGACUGAAUUAGAGCACUGCAUCAUCUCCAAUCAAUCAUCAUCCUCCCAGGCAACAAGGGACAAGGGUUGCUGCCUCCUCAUUCCGAACCAGACGUGGACCCAGUCGGUACUAGAUGUGGUGACCCCAUCUGGUGAAAAAAACCUGUGGUUACCCCAUUGGCUAACUGCAAAAACUGUGCUCACAGCAAAACAGAAAUGUGCUCAUUCCUAGUCAGUAAAAGAUAGAAAGUCGCCUGUGGGGAAUACAACCUGUAGUUACCUAGGUUACCCCAUUGGCUCACAGAAAAACUUGACCUUUUUCAAACGCAAUUUUCUUGUUGUCUGCUUGUUUUAGUCAAUUACAUAACUACAUUUAAGAAAAGUACAACAUGUCUAAAGAUGACUUUUCAACAUUACCUGCUCCUGAGCGUUCUCACUACUUAGAAAAACAUAAUAUUGUAGGCCUUCCCUCAUGCCUCUUUUCAUAACGAUGCUAACAGACACUUGAGUGAGUGAGUGCUAGCUAUCUACUGACCGGAACAUUAAGCUAGCUAAGACCAACAACACAAACAAACAGACUAUACAGCUACAAGUAGUGAGUGGAGUUACAAACAGACAGUACUAAACAAGUUAAAUGUCUUACCUGUGAUGACAUUUUUUCCACACACAAAGCUACGUGUAGCCUGAAGUGUGUGUGUGUGCACGCAAGUGUUAAACUUCAAGAACAUUGAUAAGAGGGAGUAGGCCUACUUAAACAUUGGGAGCAUUAAUAGCUGUAUGUUACAGUGACUUUUGUGUUGUUUAUGGUGAAAAUGCUAUUUAAACAUUCUGAUGAAGAUCAUUUUGUGUUGUUUAUGGUGAAAAUGCUAUUUAAACAUUCUGAUGAAGAUCAUUUUGUGUUGUUUAUGGUGAAAAUGCUAUUUAAACAUUCUGAUGUGGAUCCCUUUGUGUUGUUUAUGGUGAAAAUGCUAUUUAAACAUUCUGAUGAAGAUCAUUUUGUGUUGUUUAUGGUGAAAAUGCUAUUUAAACAUUCUGAUGUGGAUCCUUUUGUGUUGUUUAUGGUGAAAAUGCUAUUUAAACAUUCUGAUGUGGAUCCUUUUGUGUUGUUUAUGGUGAAAAUGCUAUUUAAACAUUCUGAUGUGGAUCCUUUUGUGUUGUUUAUGGUGAAAAUGCUAUUUAAACAUUCUGAUGUGGAUCCCUUUGUGUUGUUUAUGGUGAAAAUGCUAUUUAAACAUUCUGAUGAAGAUCAUUUUGUGUUGUUUAUGGUGAAAAUGCUAUUUAAACAUUCUGAUGUGGAUCCCUUUGUGUUGUUUAUGGUGAAAAUGCUAUUUAAACAUUCUGAUGAAGAUCAUUUUGUGUUGUUUAUGGUGAAAAUGCUAUUUAAACAUUCUGAUGUGGAUCCCUUUGUGUUGUUUAUGGUGAAAAUGCUAUUUAAACAUUCUGAUGUGGAUCCCUUUGUGUUGUUUAUGGUGAAAAUGCUAUUUAAACAUUCUGAUGUGGAUCCUUUUGUGUUGUUUAUGGUGCCAUUAAAAUCCUCUGAUGCAGAUUAUUUUAUGUUUCUUUCCCUUACAAUCAAAACAUAGCAUGCCUAUAACUCAAUGCACUGCUUUUUAAAUGGAAAAUUGUUUAUUUAGGGACAAAUUUGGGCAAAUUCUAAAUUGCAAUUAAGGGAUGCCAUUAAGUUAAUUCAUUAUUUUAAUCGUUUGACAGCACUAGUUUAUACUGUACCCUAGUGAGUUAGGAGAGGGGUUGACUAAUUUAAAAAAAUGACCAGUGAUUGUCGCUUUGACAGUGCAUUAUAAAACCUUUCAUUUAAACUUUUAGAUAUAAAGAUUUAUAGGCUGGAAAAAAACAAUGCCAAAAUAUCAAGUCAACCUUGAUAUUUUUGAAAAUGAUGUUUUAGUAUAAUUCUCAGAAAGGAUAAGCCUACCGAUUUAGAUGAGAUGUUGCUAUAUUGUACACUAAGUGUUCAAAACAUUAGGAACACCUGCUCUUUCCAUGACAUAGACUGACCAGGUGAAUCCAGGUGAAAUCUGUGAUCCCUUAUUGAUGUCACAUGUUAAAUCCACUUCAAUCAGUGUAGAUGAAGGGGAGAAGACAGGUUUAAGAAGGAUUAUUAAGCCUUGAGACAAUUGAGACAUGGAUUGUGUAUGUGUGCCAUCCAGAGGGUGAAUGGGCAAGACAAAAUAUUUAAGUGCCCUUGAACGGGGUAUGGUAGUAGCUGCUAGGCACACUGGUUUGAGUCAAGAACUGCAACGCUGCUGGGGAUUUCACACUCAACAGUUUCCCGUGUGUAUCAAGACGGUCCACCAUCCAAAGGACAUCCAGCCAACCAAUGAAUUGAGGCUGUUCUGCGGGUGCAACUCAAUAUUAGGAAGGUGUUCCUAAUGUUUUGUACACUCAUUGUAUACCAAACCUAGCUUGGUUUCUCAGGUUCUAUGUGGGGGAGUUUUUUAAUACAUAUCUUACAGGAAACCACCUAUUUAUAAUGAUAGAAUUGUAUGUCUUUCUCUUUUAAGUGUAUACUUGUUCAGAAUAUCUCAGAUUGAUGAUGUACUGCAUGUAAACAAAAACAUUUACAAUUGCAUUUGCAACAUUGCUGUUUUCCAACAAUAAAGAUUCCGAAACCUGUCUUUCUGUUGUUGUUGUUUAAAGUUAUUCUGACAUUUUCUGACUUGAAAAUGGAAACGCUUAGGAAUGGGAAUGGAAAUCAUACUUAUUGUUUUAAUCUAUGAGACUAUGACAAUUAUUUCACAAUAAAUACAGUAGAACACCAGUGGUAAUAGGGUUGGAAAAUAAAAUGUGAACUAUCCCUUUAAGUUAACACACAUAAUAUCAGCAAAACCUCCAAAAGGAUCCUGUUCACACACAUCGCAA
rnacentral:lncRNA from 1 species